AAUUCGGCGACUAAGUGGAUAUCGCUCUGUUCUGUUCGGCCGUUGUUCUCGAUACGGCUUGUUUCCCCACCGCCGCUGCCGCCGCCGGCCACCAUGGACUGGAUAUCGGCGCUGUAGGAGUCGGUGUCGUUCGAGAGGUUCCUAUCCGAGCCAGUCCAGUGGUAUACCAUGGCGCAUGUCUCGCUGGCACCGACGGCGAUUGGACAUGGCAGCUGUAGCAGUACAGGUCAAUUUGUCUGCAGGCUGCAGCAGGAUCUGCCUCCUCCAACUGCGAUGUUGCGUGCAUUAGCAGUUCUGGACCAAUCGGAGUUGUACGCCAUGAUUGCCCACGGAAUGCAACAGAUAUGGGAGGAGCCAAGCUCAUAUGGUGUGCAUUUGCGCCCACCAAUGGAUGUGUACAUGGCGCAAACUCAACGGCUCGCGGCUCUCAAGUUUAGUUAGUUGUUAGUCUGCUGAUAAGCCACGACAAACUUUAGUGGUUUGUUCUAGUAUUGGGAAUUGUCAUGGUUAGUUUUGGAUCUAAUUCUGUAAUUGUGCUCAGACUGUAGCUCAUCUUGUAGUAGCUGAGUCUGUAACUAGCCUUGGUGGCCAUGUAAUUCAGCUGGAUUUAGCAUGUUGUCGCCCUAGUACUAGUGUUAGUGUUUAACAUGUAAAUGAUCUAAUUAUUUAUGGAAGUUUCAGUUUCUUGA